rnacentral:rRNA from 1 species
UACGUAGGCGGAAAAUUAAGUCAGUAGUGAAAUCCUGCAGCUUAACUGUAGAACUGUUAUUGAUACUGGUUUUCUUGAAUAUAGUUGAGGUAGGCGGAAUGUGUAAUGUAGCGGUGAAAUGCUUAGAUAUUACACAGAACACCGAUUGCGAAGGCAGCUUACUAAGCUAUGAUUGACGCUGAGGUACGAAAGCGUGGGGAGCGAACAGGAUUAGAUACCCUGGGUAGUCC